rnacentral:rRNA from 1 species
UAUUGCACAAUGGGGGAAACCCUGAUGCAGCGACGCCGCGUGAGUGAAGAAGUAUUUCGGUAUGUAGAGCUCUAUCAGCAGGGACGAANNUGACGGUACCUGAGUAAGAAGCCCCGGCUAACUACUUGCCAGCAGCCGCGGUAAUACGUAGGGGGCAAGCGUUAUUCGGAUUUACUGGGUGUAAAGGGGGCGUAGACGGUUAUGCAAGUCUGGAGUGAAAGGCGGGGGCUCAACCCCCGGACUGCUCUGGAAACUGUAGAACUAGAGUGCAGGAGGGGGAAGUGGAAUUCCUAGUGUAGCGGUGAAAUGCGUAGAUAUUAGGAGGAACACCAGUGGCGAAGGCGGCUUACUGGGCUGUAACUGACGUUGAGGCUCGAAAGCGUGGGGAGCAAACAGG